AUGGAGAUUACCUGCAGACCGCCUCUGGCGGACAUUCCAAAAACCCCAAAAUCUGCUGGGAAGGGCAAGAAAUCGAAGCGUAAAGAGGAGGGAAAUUUGACUGAGGUUGAAGUUGCAUUCUCUCCAGAGACGCCAGGGCAGUCUGAGACUAAGAAGAGGAAGAGGGACGAGGAGAGCAAGGUAGUUACACGCUCGAGGGCCUCGAAAAAUGUCAACUUUGAGAAGAACAAGGCAGUAUCAAAAAGACGGGUUUAUUAUAAGAAGGUUGUGUAUGAUGGGGGUGAAUUUGAGGUCGGGGAUAAUGUUUAUGUGAGGAGGAGAGAGGAUGCAAGCUCGGAUGACGAAUUGGUUGAAGUGGAUGAAUGUAGGGUGUGCUUUAAGUCUGGGAAAUCUGUAAUGAUCGAGUGUGAUGAUUGUUUAGGUGGGUUCCAUUUGAAAUGCUUGAAACCUCCAUUGAAGGAGGUUCCUGAAGGAGAUUGGAUAUGUCGGUUUUGUGAUGAUCGCAAAUUGGGAAAGGAAGUCAAGCUUCCGACACCACCAGAAGGGAAGAAAAGGGUUAGAACGUUGAGGGAGAAGCUUCUCUCGAGCGAUUUAUGGGCUGCCCACAUUGAAAGUAUAUGGAAAGAAGUAGAUGGUAUCUAUUGGCGUCGGGUACGUUGGUAUAUAAUCCCGUAAGAGACUGUGGCUGGAAGACAACCUCAUAAUUUGAGGCGAGAAAUUUAUCGCACCAAUGAUUUUGCUGACAUUGAGAUGAAGUCUAUUCUUCGACAUUGUUUUGUCAUGAAUCCCAAAGAAUAUGCCAAAGCGAAUGAAGGUGAUGAUGUUUAUUUGUGUGAAUAUGAAUAUGAUAUUCAUUGGCACAGUUUCAAUCGUCCUGCUGAAAUUGAUAAUGGUGAAGAGGAUGAUGAUGGAGCUGAAAGUGAUGGAGAUUGGAAACUUAGCAAAGACCCAGACUCUGAUACAGAAGAAGAAAUGGACUAUGACGAGGAGAGCAUAAAAAAUAUAAUAGCCAAACCAUCUAGAGCUCAUGAGUUGGCUGCAAAUUCACAGAAGGGGCGGUUCUUUGGACUUCAGAAGAUAGGAGUUAAGAAAAUCCCAGAGCAUGUAAGAUGCCACAAGCAGACUGAUCUUGAAAGAGCAAAGGCAGCAUUUCUGUUGGCAUCAUUGCCUAAGUCUUUACCUUGCAGGGAUAAAGAAAUGUUGGAGAUAACUGCAUUUAUCAAAGAUGCCAUCUCUGAUGAUAAAUGUGUGGGACGUUGCCUGUACAUUCAUGGUGUUCCUGGAACUGGCAAGACAAUGAGUGUGCUAGCAGUAAUGAGGAAUCUAAGAACUGAAGUUGACGCAGGAAGUAUAAGACCCUACUCUUUUGUGGAGAUAAAUGUUCUAAAGUUGGCAUCACCAGAGAAUAUUUAUAGGGUUAUAUAUGAAGCAUUAAGUGGGCACAGAGUUAGUUGGAAGAAGGCUCUCCACUUGCUAAAUGAACAAUUUUCUGAAGGAAAGAAAAUUGGCAAGGAGGAUGACAAGCCUUGCAUUCUUCUCAUUGAUGAACUUGAUCUUCUUCUGACCAGAAACCAGUCGGUUCUAUACAACAUUCUUGACUGGCCUACUAAGCCACACUCAAAGUUAGUUGUAAUAGGCAUAGCAAAUACCAUGGAUCUUCCUGAGAAGUUGCUUCCUCAUAUUUCAAGUCGUAUGGGAAUCGAAAGGCUUUGCUUUGGCCCCUAUAAUUACCAACAGCUUCAAGAGAUAGUUUCUAGUCGUCUUAAAGGAAUUAAUGCCUUUAAAGAACAAGCUAUAGAAUAUGCUUCAAGAAAGGUAGCAGCUAUUUCAGGAGAUGCCGGUCGUGCAUUGGAGAUAUGCAGGCGUGCAGCAGAAAUCACAGAUUAUUGACCUAAGAAGCUAAUCUCAAAUUCUAAUAAUGCUUCUCAAGGAAAAUCACUUGUUGGAAUGGCAGAGGUUGAAGCAGCCAUACAAGAAAUGUUCCAGGCACCUCAUAUUCAAGUGAUGGAAACUUCUUCCAGGCUGAGUAAAAUAUUUUUGACUGCCACGGUGUAUGAACUCUACAAAACAGGAAUGGGGGAAACUACAUUCGAAAAGUUGGCAAUGACAGUCUCAUGACUCUGUACAAGUAACGGAGAAGCAUUUCCCGGACAUGACAUGCUCUUAAAAAUUGGUUGUAAACUUGGGGAGUGCAGAAUUGUUUUAUGUGAAUUGGGAGCAAAGCACAGGUUGCAGAAGCUGCAGCUCAAUUUUCCAAGUGACGAUGUGGCAUUUGCACUCAAGGACAGCAAGGAGUUACGUUGGUUGGCCAAGUAUCUAUGAUUCUAGAUUCAAUCAUUUUCGAUUAAAAGGAGGAGGAGAAGACACAAUGGAAUUGCAUGCACGAAUAUUGAUAGAAAUAAUGGAAGAGAAUAAAAGGAUGAAAAGGAAGCAGCCAUGUUGGAUUGGGUGAUGAGACUGCACUAGCAGGUACAUAAGGUUAAUAGGCACAAUUAGUUUGGUAAGUACAUUAGUUGACUCUGAUUAUGCAAAAUGUUUGGUUAUAAACAUCAACUCAACUCUGAUUACUCGAUUACGUACAUUGACUCGAUACCAAAUAUUUAUAAGGAUAAAGAGAGUGGAUUAGGAUUUAUACAUGAUUCUAGACAAUUUUCUAUACAUGAUUCUGUUUAAAAUAUAUAUAUAUUAUAUAUAUGUAACAUUGUAUACUCUUAUAUAAUGAUCAUAGUUGAGUCCAUGUUUGUUAGUUCGAUAGGUAAAUUAUUCGAUGUUUUUCAUUUCCUAAUGUAAGCAAUGUGCUUUCAAUAUGAGGUUCAUGUCUGUGAACUGUAUACCCUAUGGAGUAUUGGAGUCCGGACUAAGCAAACUUAUCUCAAUUUAGUUUUUUAUUUAUCUUUAUGCUCGUAUUUAUUGAUUCAUUUCAUUUUUGGUAUUGAGUCAUCAUCUUGUUAUCUUUUUGCUAUUCAAGGUGGGUACAGACAUGAUUCAAAUGUACACUUAUGCAGAUUAGGAAAGAAAUAAAUUCUUGAUAGGCAAAACAUGUUUGUUAGUUUGGUAGGUAAACUAGUUGUAACCCUCCUGUGUCCAUCAUCAAUUGGUAUUGUUCUUUUGUCUCAGGUUGUCCACACUUGCAUUCUCUUUUGUUGUUGUGUGGUUCAUCUAUUCGAUAAUAUUACAAGUUCUUUUGUUUUAGGUUGUCCACACGUGCCUUCCUACAAACGUUUUUUUAUUAUAUUUUUUUUUAUUGUUACAUAGUGCUGUUUUUCUUUAAAAAAAAAUGUUUGGAUUGAUAUUCUUGUAGUUUCUUUGUUGCAUUAAAUGGAACUUGUCGUACUUGGAAGACGUGUUUUUAAGGAUAAGACUGUUUCGAUUCCACUUCAAAGUGAUUCUACUCUAAUGGUUUUUUAUUAUGAUAUAUGUUCAAGAUUUAAUGAGCUUGGGGUUGGGGCUUUUGAGAUGACUUACCUUGUGUCGGAUCAUCCUCCAUUUGUACUAGAGACCGACUUAGUGACUGUACACAUACUGCUGAGAACGAUUUCAAUGGAAAAUAUGCAGCACCAUCUGGUCAUACAUACUUCUCUCAUUCAUGGAAGAACUACAUCAAUCAUGUGGGCCAGAAGUUUACAGGUGGGGUUAUUGAGUUUAGAGAAAAAUUGUGCAAGUAUGCUAUUGAGAAAGGUUUUAAGGUUGGGUAUCUUAAAAAUGAAAAAGAGAGAGUGACUUCCUAGUAUUCUAAACAAGUGUCUGAUGGUUGUAGUUUGCGUGUGCAUGCGUCAUUAUGUCUUGCAAAUUGGUUUUUUUUAUAAAUACAUUUGGAGCUUGAACAACGAACACACUUGCAACGGACUCAUCCUCGAAUGUAAGAGCAGCAUGAUGUCUUCAAAAAUUGUGCCCUCCGUUUUGAUCAACCAAAUUCAAUCUAAACCAUUGAUUAAACUGAUUGAAAAUUUCAAGGAUUUCAAGAACUAUGGGUUGUACAUUUCUUAUCACAAUGCAUGGUAUGGUAAAGAAUUAGCAAAGAAAAGGGUCCAUGGUGAUGAGUCAUUGUUGUAUAAGCACUUAGUUUGGUACAUGGGAGCUGUGUUUAGCUUAAAUCCUCGUUUACGUUGUAUGUUGGAGUAUGACCCAAAGACAUCCCGAUUCAAUAGUUUUUUUUUUUUUUUUUUAAAUCUCCUUUCAUGCUUGCAUAGAAGGAUUUAGAUUUUGCCUGUCAUUAUUAUUCCUUGGUGGGACAUUUAUUAAGAACAAGUAUAAGGGUCACUUGCUCGCUGCUACUGGGAAAAAUGGAAACUAAGGUAAUGAAAUAAGCCUCUUUUAACAAAAAAAAUUUAAAUUCAAUUGAUGCCACUCUGCGUAGGUAAACUUUACAUUAUUUUUUAGGUAUUACUGUUUUAUAUUUAGGGGUUUGUUCCUUACUAUUCUAUUUUACAAUGUUAAACACCCGCCUGGUUAGGUUUUUUUUUUUUUUUGGUGGUUGUUGCUAUGUUCGUCUCAUGAAAGCCAAAUUUCAGUUUGUGACAGAUCUGUCAGUACAUAAACUUGUUAUGAUCUAAUGUUCUUAUGAUGAAAAUAAGUAUGUAUCCUUUAGUGUUUGCAGUCAUUGAUUCCGAGAAUGAAGAGAAUUGGACUUGGUUCCUCCAAAAUCUUGCAGAAAUUGUCAACGCCCAAUGGAGAACUAUAACAUUCAUAUCUGAUCGUAAUAAAGGAUUGCUUGAAGCACUGCCAUAUGUGUUCCCACAUUAACCACAUGCAUUUUGCUUCCACAAUUUAAAACACAAUGUCCUUGCCAAGUAUCCAUCUUCAUUGGGGAAGACAAACCGUGAUUGGAUUGUUCAUCUUUUUGGUAAGUGUGCAUAUGCUUUGACUGAAGACGCAUUGGAAAUGCGUAUGAGAACGUUGCAAGAGGAGGGUGGUGCUGUAAUAAUAGAGUUCUUGAAAAACCUUCCAAAAGAAAAUUGGUCAGCUGCUUACUUUCCAGAUAAAAUGUUUAAAUUCAAUUGAAGCCACUGUGUAGGUAAACUAUGCCUUAUUUUUCAGGUAUUAAAAGGUAAUGUUUUAGAUUUUGAGGUUUGUUCCUUACAAUAUGGUGAAAUCCUAAACAAAAUAUGGUGAAAUGUGUUCAAAUGUAGCAGAGUCCUUUAAUGCAUGGAUUGUAGACCAGCGUCAUUUGCCUAUUUAGCAGUUAAUAGAUGGUAUAAGGAUUAAAAUUAUGGGAAAGAUUGCACAGAGACGACAUGCAGCAGAAGAAUGGAACACUUGUCUAUGUCCAGAAAUGGAGACAAAGUUAAAAGAAUUAUUGGACAGUGGACACCAUUGGGAUGUAAGUCGUUCUAGUGAGUUCUUGUUUGAGGUUCAUGGCGAGGACUCUGUAAUGGUUGACCUACAGAGUCGUACCUGUAGCUGCUGCAUAUGACAUAUCAAAGGUUUUCCCUGUGUACAUGCAUUUGUGGCAGUAAUAAAAAAUGAUGGGAAUCCAUUUGAUUAUGUGGGAGAGUAAUUGAAUAAUUGUGAUUCAUAUUAUAUUUUUUCAAGAAGAGGA